CCUAGACAAGCAGCCUCCUGAGCCAAUGUAGGUAUGUCAAUGUGAUCCUUUGGCCUGUCUUGCUGCUCUAAAGUACUAAUCUGAUUAGAUAGUCUGGCCACCUCACUCAAAUUUUGAAGCUAUGUUUGAACCAGUGAAGCGAUCUAGUGUGCUUGAUAUACCUUAGUCUACUCUCGCGCUAUCCUCAGUCCAUCCAACACAAGCUCUUCAAUCCUCCCCAUUUGAUAAUCGUCUAACCAUGUGA
rnacentral:lncRNA from 1 species